AUUGAACGCUGGCGGCAGGCCUAACACAUGCCAGUCGAGCGGAUGAAGGGAGCUUGCUCCUGGAUUCAGCGGCGGACGGGUGAGUAAUGCCUAGGAAUCUGCCUGGUAGUGGGGGAUAACGUCCGGAAACGGGCGCUAAUACCGCAUACGUCCUGAGGGAGAAAGUGGGGGAUCUUCGGACCUCACGCUAUCAGAUGAGCCUAGGUCGGAUUAGCUAGUUGGUGGGGUAAAGGCCUACCAAGGCGACGAUCCGUAACUGGUCUGAGAGGAUGAUCAGUGACACUGGAACUGAGACACGGUCCAGACUCCUACGGGAGGCAGCAGUGGGGAAUAUUGGACAAUGGGCGAAAGCCUGAUCCAGCCAUGCCGCGUGUGUGAAGAAGGUCUUCGGAUUGUAAAGCACUUUAAGUUGGGAGGAAGGGCAGUAAGUUAAUACCUUGCUGUUUUGACGUUACCAACAGAAUAAGCACCGGCUAACUUCGUG
rnacentral:rRNA from 1 species